UACGUAGGGGGCAAGCGUUGUCCGGAUUUAUUGGGCGUAAAGAGCGUGUAGGCGGCCAGUUAGGUCCGUUGUGAAAACUCGAGGCUCAACCUCGAGACGCCGAUGGAAACCAACUGGCUAGAGUCCGGAAGAGGAGAGUGGAAUUCCCGGUGUAGCGGUGAAAUGCGUAGAUAUUGGGAGGAACACCGGUGGCGAAGGCGGCUACCUGGACCGGUACUGACGCUGAGGCGCGAAAGCUAGGGUAGCAAACAGG
rnacentral:rRNA from 1 species